CAGAGCUUUGGCAACUGUGAGCCAAGGGCGGUAGCUUG
rnacentral:ncRNA from 1 species